rnacentral:rRNA from 1 species
UCCGUAGGCGGUGUGGCAAGUCGGUAGUGAAAUCUCUCGGCUUAACUGAGAGGCUGCUGCCGAAACUGCCAUGCUCGAGUGCGAGAGAGGCGAGUGGAAUUGCGGGUGUAGCGGUGAAAUGCGUAGAUAUCCGCAGGAACAUCCGAGGCGAAAGCGGCUCGCUGGAUCGCAACUGACGCUGAGGGACGAAAGCUAGGGGAGCAAACAGGAUUAGAUACCCUGGUAGUCCUAGCCCUAAACCAUCAGGACUUGGGGUUUGCCCUGUACGGGGCAAGUCCCGGAGCUAACGCGUUAAGUCCUGCGCCUAGGGAGUACGGUCGCAAGGCUGAA